rnacentral:rRNA from 1 species
CGUGCAGGUGGUUUGUUAAGUUGGGUGUUAAAGCUCUCGGCUCAACUGAGAGUUGCCGCUCAAUACUAGCAGACUAGAGGAUGGUAGAGGAAGGUGGAAUUCCGGGUGUAGUGGUGAAAUGCGUAGAUAUCCGGAGGAACACCGGUGGCGAAGGCGGCCUUCUGGACCAUUCCUGACACUCAGACGCGAAAGCUAGGGUAGCAAACA